AAAAGAACGAUCAUCUCGUGACAAAAAAAAAAGAAGUAGUAAAAAGAAACCGACGUGCGUGGAAAUUAAAAAGGCCGAGAAAUGCCCAUGUCUGCACCAAAAACCGUCGCUGCCACUUACCCCGCCCGCGCCCAUAUUGCAUGCAUAUUCCUCCACACAGCUACUUGAUCUGAUCCCCGUCCGGCCAGGCGCCAGCUCUCGAUCACGCGUCUUUUUUAUUCCUGUGGCGCUCCCCGCCGUACGGCCAUGCACCGCCGCUGGGCGACGACGCUGUGGUCGUGGACGACGGCGUGGACGGCGCCGCAGCGGCCGACGAGGACGGCAUUGCCGCGGCCCGCGGCGGCGACGGCGACGGCGGGCCGGGCCGGAUGAGCUGCUGCGUGGAGAAGUCCAGUAUCUGCGGCGCCGAUGCGGACGACGACGGCGAGAACGUGGAGGGCAGGUUGACUCCCGGCCGACCGCCCAUCAUCGUCAUGAGCUGCUGCUGCUGCUGCUGACGGUGCGCCUGCUGGACCGCCGCCUCGGCGUGGCCGCCGCCGCCCCGGCCGCCCUGCAGCAGCUGCGCGUACUGCAUGAGGUCGGGGUACGGCACGACGGUCUGGUGGCCGUGCUGGUGGUGCGGCGGCGGCAUUGCUGCCAGGGUCACCGCCGCCGACGGGUGCCGGUGGUCCGGGAUGCCGCGGGUGACGAGGAAGCCGAGGUCGGUUCGGCCCUGCACGCGCUCCGGGAAGUUGAGCUUGGCCUUGGUGCCCUUGAACCGCAGCGCCGCCUCGUCGUAGGCGAUGGCGGCGUCCUCCGCCGUGUCGAAGGUGCCGAGCCACACCCGCGCCGCCUUCUUGGGGUCCCGGAUCUCUGCCGCCCACUUGCCCCACGGCCGCUGCCUCACCCCCCGGUAGUGCCGCCUCCGACCUGCUGUGGGCAUGCUUAUAGUUUACUAUAAUCCGCAAUCGCAAAACACAUGGCCAUGCUCAAUUAACUACUGCUUGUUCUGGACACAGGUUUUUAUCAAAUCGUCGUCAGAGUACGCUACGUCACAGCUAACGUCGCUUGGCUCGCAUAAAAUAUUCUUUGGCAAGAUAAUUGAUCCCAGUUCGUGUGCUUUCUCGAGAGUUCAUUAACCCACGGUUUAGUAGCUAGGAAAGAGUAAAGUACGUUGAGCUGCCGGUAAUUUACAGGCUGGAUCGAAAUCGAUGAUGGACGUGUCACUGAUUUGGACGGACCGAAGCUUCCAAAUCGGGCAAUCGAGCGGAAGGCGGAAGGCCGUGCGCGUGCCAUGCUAUCGCAAUCGACGACAAGGAGUAAUGCUACCUUGCCUGCACCGAUCGAUGAGACGGCCGGAUGGCUAGGCUAGGUGCGCGUACCUUGCUCCUCCUCGGCGGCGGCGACGUGGCCGCCGGGACCGGGAUAGUGGUGCGCAGACGCUUGCGGGUGGUCUCCCAGCCGAAGGCUGCCCGGGACGCCGGCGCCGUACAAGGCCGGCGCCUGCUGCGGCGGAAGCUGGUCAGGCGAGGCCCGGAUGACGUGGGCAAGCGCGGAGGCCACGGCGGAGGCGUCGUUGUCGGCGCGCGCCGAGUAGUAGUACUGCGCGUACGCCUGCGGCGGCGACGGGCCACCGAUCACGGAAGACGACGACGACCCUCCGCCGCCGCUAAAGGUGGCUCCUUGCAGCUGCGAGACGGCGGCGUGGUGAGGCUCCUCCAGCUGCUCGUGCUUUGCGGGCGGCGGGCCCGGGGGCAGCGCCUCCUCCUCCUCCUCCUCUUCCACCUCGGCGGCGGGUAGGGGCCUCUUGCCAUGCCUCCUCCGUGGAUCCACCUUAGUCAGCUGCCGGUCGAUCUGCCUCCUCCUCCUCCUCCUCCGGCGGGUAGAACUGGACCGAUCGAUCCGGGCAUGCGUCGAGGAGAGCUGAAGAUUAUUUGGACUUCGGACGGAGGCUCGCGCUCAGGCUCAGCUCGGUGGAGCAGUGCACAAUGACGUGCCGAGCUCGCUACUGAUAAGAACGCGGAGAGAGAAGAGCGAGAGAGAUGCCAAGAAUGCCUUCUCUUUAUCUUUAUUAUUUUUUAUUUGUAUAUGUUGGCUAGAGAGAGAGAGAGAGGGGGUGAAAAGAGGAAAAUAGAACAUUUUGCACUUAGUUUUUAUAAACUCAUAUAUUUGUCUAGGAGAGUAGUACUCAUAUAUUUGUCCUUUGAACUAGUUUCGAAAGGAUAAAAAAAGCUGUCUUGCAUUGUAACUUGGGGCUUUGUCUAGGAGGAGAGCAUCGCUUUAUUAACAGCAUGUCGGAAAAGACAAGAUAGGGGC
rnacentral:misc_RNA from 1 species